GUUCAAGAGGGACAGGACAUAUAUAUACCUUUGGUUGAUUCAUAUUGAUGUAUGGCAGAAAUGAACACAACAUCGUAAAGUGAUUAUUCUCCAGUUAAAAAUAAUUUUAAAAAAAUCUAUGUCCCUUAAGGAUAAAGAUAAGACUCUUACUGAUUCCUCUUGACCAAAGUUUUAACUAGUUAGGUCCCCAGUAGCCCUAGAAUUUUUCUCAGCUAGAAUUUUUCAAAUAUAAAUAAGUCAUCUUAAUAUCGAAUGUUUUUAUUUUUCAAAAAGGCAGAAGUGACUGCCUAGAUAGAGGGCCACCCUUUGUCCCCACAAUUAUGCUACUCAAGAAUCUUGAAUAGUUGUACAGAAAAUAUUCAAAGAAUGAGCAGUUUCCCAAAAGUACCAUAUGAGUAGUUUCUGAAGUAUUAGAUUGCACUUUCUUAUAAUAAACUUUAUCUAAUGUCUGUUAAAUAGUGUCUGGGCGGUAUCAAUGAAGAGUUCACCUGGAUAGUUCUCAAAUUAUGUGUCACAUGGCAGUAGGCGUUACUGGUGUUAUAUCUGCAUCUGUGGUAUGUUUCUGCAGUGUGUCUGCACACACAGCAGCAGCAGCAAGUGGUCUCUGUCUGUAUACACGUGCUUUCUAAUGGAAAUUCAUGAGUUUUAUUUAUCACUUGACCCUGGUUUUGUGGUAAAUGAUAUCUGAUAAUUACUGUGUCUAUAGAUUUUUUUUUUUUAAUCUUUGGAAAUCUUUUUCCUCCUAUAAUUCCCAUUCAGUUUAUUGGGGGGGCAGUGGGGGAAGAGCAGAAGAAUCUGACAUAUUUUCUCUUGUCACUUUAAGUGACUAAGUUCUGUCAGGAAUUCCAUAUUUCAAGCCAAGGUAGCUGGCUGUUGCUCUUCCCUUCUUAAACACUUGUCUGUACAUGUGCAGUUCUUCCUAUUCCUCAAGGUCAACUUGAACACCUUCACUCAGCUAGCACCCUGAAUCCAUAGCACUUUCCUUAUAGCAUUUAUGGGGGAUACCUGAAUUAAAUACAUAAAGCCUCUCGAGUAUUGAGACUAAUGUCUAGCAGUUUAGACAAACGUAAUCUCCAAGACAUAGGUUGACCACUGAACAGAGUUGAAAUAAAUGCCAAUUAAAAAGGGAAGUUGGAUAAAGAUGUUUAGAUUGAGAAAAUACCUUUAUCUUGCUUUCCUCCCCAAGUUCAAAACGGUGACAGUAAAGAAAAUGAAAUCGAAUGGCGCUGCAAAACCAAAGUCAGUGUGUUCUGGGGGAAUUUCUGAGAUUUGGAAACAGGAUCUGAUAUAGAAGACCAGAGGAGAGCAUAGCUUUAUAGAAAUGGAGAACUACAGGGGAGCCCCAGACUGGUAGAGAAUCUCAGGCAGAUUCCUUGGGGAGGUGGCUGGAUAGUCUGGCCUGUUCCCACUUGGCCUAGGCAGCAGGCAGCAACAGCAGCUGUUCUCAGGCCAAAGCACUGAAUGUGGGCGUUGGGCCAGAGAAGACCACGAAACCAUAAAUAGCCACAGAUCCCCAAAGGGGUGGCGAGCCCUCAGGCACAGACAGCAAGCUACCAACCUCCCUCACGUAGGCUGUGUCCCAGCCUUCUCCACGGUCAGCAGAAGCAGGCUGCCUGGGACUGAACCAGAGUAGCCACAGGAAGGAACAAAGGCGAGUAGACAGUCAACUCCUAUGAAUUUGCGGAAAGACACUCUAAACAAAACAAGUCCUGUGCCCUUUGAUUGGAGGACGUGCAAUUCCAAAAACUACCUGGGGAUCUAAAAUAUGUUCCUCAGACAGUCCUUGGCAACCAGUGAGUGGGUCAUAAAAAUAAGCAGAUGAGUUAACCAGAAUGAAUUCAGACAGAGGAUGAAGGGAUGAGGUGGAGGGUGGGUUGGAGUCCUUUCCAGAACACAGUGGAGAGGUGGGUAGAGGCAGUGAAAGUGCUCAGUCGUGUUCAGCUCUUCGUGACCCCAUGGACUGCAGCCCGCCAGAAUCCCAUGGACGGAGGGGCCUGGUGGGCUACGGUCUGUGGAGUUGCAAAGAGUCGGACAUGACUAAGCAACUAACACACCCGCACACAUUCAGUGGUUCCCAAAUCUUAAUCCAUUUGAUCUAACUGUAAGCCAGUCACUGAAAUUAGCCAACAUAAGGCUAUGGACCCUUCCAGAAAGUGAAAGAAAGGAGGAAGGAAGGAGUGUGCAUGUGAGAUUCCUGAAUUCAGUUUUAUCAUCACUAACAAACUGAAUAUGAAGACAGAGAAGUAGCAGUGUGGCAACCUACAGAAACAAAUCACGGAACAGCCUAACAUGCUAGAACACAUCUAAGCAAGGACAACAAAGAAAAAAUGACAAGGUGAAAGGUGGCAGUAACUCCUUGGGCAAGCCAGUGAGUGAAAGAAAAACAUACUUCUAGUUCCAGGAAUGUUUCCACAUCAGUAGAGCUAGAGGAGACUCUGGAAUUACCUCUUGUAUUCAAAUGUUGAAGCCCAAGACAGGGUGGUUAAGGGCCAAGUGAAAAUAGACAUGGCGAUAACCAGGUCUCUCAGUGUGCAGCCUUUGAUUGGGUUCCUCUGAAAUACUAGAGCCCAUUCUAAGCCCAGGCAUGUAUGUUGCUGCUGAAAACCUAAUGCAAAUCCAAUUUCUGUUCUUCUUUUAAGUAAGCUAGAUUCUUACCUGGGCACUCCAAUUUUUUAAUAACUUCCUUGUUCUCUCAGUAUGAAAAAUAGUUGAAUUCUAUUCAGAGUUUCAGAAUUAGUAUUUCAUUGUAAAGUUAUCAAACGGUGCAAUCAGUGCACACAUAUAUAUACACACGUGCAUCUUUCCAUAUGUGCAUUUUUCUUUUCCCUUUUUUUAUAAUUACUUGCAUGUUAGCCCACUGAUAUUCUUUCAUAGAUCUUUGAGGCUCUGUUGUGCUUCCCUUUCUUUCCUCUUUGUGUUUCAGUUGAGAUCAUUUGCUUUGAUAUGUCUUCAAGUUUGGGCAUUGGUUUGUGUUGAGGGGUUCACUAAGCUAUUCCGUAAUACUUGGAGUAUUGGCAUCCUCUUGUGUGACUAAGGGGCCAGCAGGGGCCUUGAACCACGAGCGUGUGCUCUGCACAGCAAUUUGGAGUCACAAGUUCCUGACAUGACUGCUGAUAAAGUCUCUCCUGCCUCCUAGCUUUCUCCACUUGUGCCCAAGAGCCCCUGGAGCUUACUUAAACCUUGCUGUUUAUGGUUUGAAUGAACUGUGCCUUAGCCCAGGGCCUGCAAAGCACUGCGCCUGUGGACCCUAAUAAUGGCACGCGCCCCCGG
ensembl:lncRNA